UCAAGGUUUCCGUAGGUGAACCUGCGGAAGGAUCAUUA
rnacentral:rRNA from 2 species